CCUACGGGGGGCAGCAGUCGAGAAUCUUCCGCAAUGGACGAAAGUCUGACGGAGCGACGCCGCGUGAUGGAUGAAGGCCCUCGGGACGUAAACAUCUUUUAUGAGGGAGGAAGUAAUUGACGUUACCUCAUGAAUAAGGGGUUGCUAAACUCGUGCCAGCAGCAGCGGUAAUACGAGUGCCCCAAGCGUUAUCCGGAAUUAUUGGGCGUAAAGGGUGCGUAGGUGGUUUUAUUAGUCGCUCGUUAAAACUCCCGGCUUAACCGGGAAGGUGCGAGCGAAACGGUAAGACUAGAGAGGGUGAGAGGCCAGUGGAACUCAUGGUGUAGGGGUGAAAUCCGUUGAUAUCAUGGGGAACGCCAAAAGCGAAGGCAGCUGGCUGGCGCCUAUCUGACACUGAGGCACGAAAGCGUGGGUAGCGAACGGGCUUAGAUACCCCUGUAGUC
rnacentral:rRNA from 1 species